ACAGACCCCCAAGGCCAGUGGCAGGGAGCCCCCGUGGCCUCCAGCAUGUCCCUUUAAAAGGACAGCCUGUCCCUGGCAACUGGUGCUCAGCUGGGGCCCUGAGGAGCCCUUGGGAAAGGAAGGAGCAAGACUGGGGGAGGGGAACACUGGCCAGAAAGGUGACUUUGACAGUAACCAGAGGCCAGGACUGAAGGCAGAAAGGAAGAGCCUCGGCCCUUCCACCCUGUUCUGGAGCUGAGGUUGGAAGGAGAAACUGAGGCCCAAGAAGGGAAUGCUUUGAUCAAGUGAUGUCGGGGAUGGCGCUGGGCAACGCUGGGCCUUCAGGCCUGAGUAAGGGCUUGGUCAGGAGAUCCAGGUGGAGCUGGCGACUGUGGCACGGAGGUCAUGAAACCACCAGAGUGACAGUCACCUUGCUCCAGAGUGCGGGGUUGGACCUUCGUGCGCAGGACAAGUGUGUGAGGGACUGGGAUGAGGACCCAAGGCUUGGGCGGCGGAGCGCCGCAGCUGCACAGCGCCCCCGGCGACCGCCUCUCUCACUGCAGUGUGACCGUGCCGGCUGUCCCCGCUGGUGACAGAGCUCUCUCCUCCUUCCAAAGCCACCGGGCUCCGGGGUCGAGGAUCGCGCUUGGUGGUACACCGGACAGCUGCUGGGCCCCUGGCUUGGCGUGAA